UGUCGUGUCGUGGCAUAGCUUUGCAAAGCCCGCUCAAAUCAAAAAACCUGUUUAGUUACCGAACAUUACCACAACCUCAACUUGGGCGUAUUUGCCAGACUGUGUAGUUCCUUGUUUAAUGUAUUUUUUUUUUUAUUUAAUCGUGUAGUGAUAAUCUGGUUACAGAUAAUUCCUAUUCACUAGCCCUUUCAAAUAACUGUGUUUGAUUCAGUGAACCGAAAUCUGUGAAUAAUGUGUGUUUACCUUUGUGGCUUACAAGUGUUUGGAAACAGUUUGUCGUGUUAAAAUACCUAUUUUAAGGUGUGUGUUUAAAGUUAAAGUAACAGAAAGGUGAGGUAUUCAUUCGAGUUGAGUGCAUUGUGCAUAAAACAUGAAACAAGUGAUAAUUGUACAUUAAUUACGAAGUUAUAAGUGCUAUGAAGAAAGGGAUGUCAUUAGAUCUCUGUCUUCAAAUUGAUUGAAUUGCAUACUUCAGUGAACACCGUGUGAAUCUUUCCUUUUACCUGCCGCCAGCUUUGCAAAAGCUACAAUGUUAAACUUGAGGCAUGGUGUGUUGUGUGCAAUCAUGGAUCUGUGAUGGGCCGCACUGACUCGCACACACGCAGCGGAGGCGUCAUGUAGACAUGGCGAGUGGCAAGGCUCUGUACUCCAUAGCCGUUGUCGUUCUUGGCUUCAUCUGCUUCAUCGUUGGAGCCAUCGCUGUCGGGCUGCCCACUUGGGGGUACUUCUACAGUUAUGAUUCGGACCUAGCGCUAUCGGUCCAGUCCUAUUAUUUUGAGAACCCUAACUUCGAUCAGGGGUACUUCGGACCAUGGAGGGUUUGCAAAAAGCUGCUCUACAACAGAGAGAAAUGUGGAUCGGAAGUCUCCAAGUUCCGGCCGUCAACGGCGGUCCACAUAGCGGGCGUGGUGGCGGCGGUCGGGGUCUCCGUGCUGGGCGUGUUCUGCGUGCUGUCCGUGCUGCAGCUGGCCAUGAUCUCGAGCCGGGAGCGCGUGGGGCUGCAGUACACGCACCUCGUCACGCUGAAGUUGGCGCUUGCGCUGCUGGCCGCAUUGCUGUCGAUUUCGGCGGCCGGCCUGUUCGCCGUGCAGGGCGAUGACAGGGGCUUCUACCUGACCAGGGGAGAAGCGUUCUAUGUACAGAUAGUGUGCAUAGUACUGAACUCGGCGCUGUUCAUCGUGUCGCUGUACGACAGUCUGUUCUCGCGGCGCGCCGGCGGAGACCCCACGAGCCCGCUCGAGGCCGCCACCAUCGGCAACCCUGGCUUCAAGGAUGGCAGAGGCAUAUCCAUGACAGACGCAUCAGGCAAGCCGUACAGUUCUAACGGGCAUGGCAGCGUGGUUUCCAUGAAUACCACCAUGUCCACCGUCACCGGGCUGUCGGAUGCCAGCACCAUCACUCGGUCACCUCUUCGGUCCUCGCUCAAGAAGCCAAGGCCCCGGGAAGGGGAGCCCGGGGGCCUGGGCAUACAGAACCCGGGCUACUCCGGGCACUCCCCAACAUUGAACCGGAACGGUAGCCAGAAGAAAGUAAGGAUCCAAACGCACAGUACUGAAGUGUAAUGUGAUUUUGUGUGGCCUUUAAGAUUGUUAUACAGGUAUUGUGGUGAUUGCUUGUUAAGAUACGUGUUCAAAAUGGAACGGUGGUAAAAAAUAUUUUUGAAUAAUAACUUUUGGUGUGGGUAGUAUGCGCCGAUAAAAAGGUGUAAUAGUACCCUGGAUGGGUUCACUUUCAGAGUGAGCUUGUCCUUGCUACGGCCCCUGAAUAAUGUAUGAAAACUACUGUGAAGGUGCAAAUUGCAGGUAGAAUUGUACCUGCUAUAAGAAAGUCUGAUUCAGGAAAUAAAACUGGACCAAAAUAUUUGUGAAUGUUUAUAUUCCGUAUUUUAAUACUUAUAGAUAUGUAUUCUAUUUCAAUUGGAUCAUGAAUUUUGCAAGACUAAUCAACUAAACAAACGUAGGUUCCCUACGCAGCUUUUAUAUGUAUUUGAUCAUCAUUAAAGUUACUACUUUUUAGUCUUAAGUCUCUGUAAUUUAAAUGAAAAUUUAUUUAUAGAUAGAUAGAUACUAUAAAUCUCGGCUUCUUUAAAUCUGGGCUUAAAUCGUAUAUACCUACCUAUUUACAUUCUGUAGAUUCAAUAUUAAUUUGAUGUCUUUGUAUUAAAAAUAUAGAUUUAGACAUGGAAGUAUUAAAAAAGAUCUUUUAUACUACUUCCAUGGAUUUAGAGCCAAAUAUUGGAAAAAAAUAUAAUUGUGUAUAAUGAUUAUAAUAUUUAUAAUGCACAUCGCACAAAAGAAUUUAUUAAUUAAUUAAACGUCUAGGUAUCUAAAAAAUCCAUUCGAAAUUGUGUAGGUAUCAUAAUAUGUGUGCAACUUAUGUAGAUAAAAAGAUAUGAAAAAAUUCACAGAUGUAAUACAUAAUAUGACGAAAUUAAAAAUAAAACUAUCUCAAGUAAGUGGAAUAGUCAAUAUUGUAAUUACAAACUUCAGUUGCAGAUUUGACCAUGACGUAUAUCGAUAUAUGGCAAAAUAUAAUUCCAACUGCAAAGAAGUUUCUUUUUUGAGAGAGCUUAUCUUUGUACCCUCAGUGCGCGAGUCUAACUCGCACUUGGCCACUUUUUUUUUCAUUUAGGUUCUAGUACAUUAUCAUUCUUGUUUUUUUAUAAUAGGAAGUGUGUUAUUUGUAUUAGCCUUCCUUGUUUACUUCAAAGUAGGUAUGUUAUUGUAUAUUUUAGUUCCAUUAAAUGGACAAAUUGUGUAGGUAGCUGUACACAAAUAUAUUUUAGUUAUUUAACGCAAUUUUGUUCUCGCAAUAUAUAUUUACCUUUUGAACUAAGUUCUUCUUGAUAUUAUGUCGCUGUUGAUAACACUAUAUUGUAAAUAAUGUAUCAGCUCAAAGCGUUGUUAAAUGUGUUAUAUGAUUCUGCUAUUUACAAUACCUAUAUAUGUCUGUACUGUACCUCAGCAGAGGUAAAGAAAAAUAAGUUAAAUUUUGGUAUGUUUUUUAAGACGUAAAAAUAUAUAUAUUGUAUUUUAAGUUUCAAUUUUUUAUUUCAAUAACUAUCUGUUGAUGAUAUGAGUUGCUUUCAUACGAUUAUGUAUUUUGUAUAUGGCAGAUUGUAUAAAUGUAACUUCUGAUACAUAAAAAUUUAGUUUUAUACAUAUUGCUAAUGCCGGAUCACAUAUGUAUGUAUAUAUUGUGUAUGUAUAUAUUUUGCAUGAAUAAAUGUAUUUUUUCUGAAUAUGUAACGCUGUGCAUUACUUUAACUAUUGACAAUUAGGUAAUUAUGUAAGUAGGUAAUUUUAUUUUAUGAAUGUACCACCACACACGACAUUCUGUUUUGAUAUGUAUUUUUUAAUAUUAUAAGCAAAGUAUUUAGUAAAUAAGAUAUGUACCUUCUAUGUUACUUGCUUUUAAAAUUCAUAAACACAAUUUGUAUGGUAGUAUGGAUUUAUUUGUAAGAUUAGAAGUAAGUCUUGUAAAUACACAAUUACAUGGUAUUAAUUAACCCACCAGGUUUUUAAGAAAUCAUCACAUUAAGGUAUUUACGUAGUUAAUCCAGUACUGGGUAUUACAGCCAUCUAUUUUUAAAUUUUAUUUGAUGCAGAUCGAAUCUCAUAAUAUCUUCACUAUAUUAGGCAAACGAAUAUGUCUCAAUAUUUUUUUAAUUACAGCUGGCCUUGGUAAAGUUAAUAUCACCCUAUAUGUAGUUUUGUAUAUUGUACUAUCUUAGAUCUGUUUGCAAUAUGCAUGCUUCAGUUUUGAAGAACAACUGUACUUUAUUUUGUAAAUUUUUUUAUAAAGCAGUCUGGAUUCACCAUAUUCUUUACAUAAUACAAUAUAGGUUAAAACCUAUAUUGUAUUAUGUAUUAUGUUCUACAUUCUUUCUACAUUUUAAGAUAUAUUAUGUUUAUCCUAUUUCCGUCCAAAUUCUGGUCUCACUACAUUAGCAUCACGUUUUUUUGAGUAGUUGUAAAAUGUAUUAAUGAAACUCAGAAUUUUAUUAUUGUUAAUGUUUUUAGUAUAUAUGGGUUUCGAAUUAGUCAUUCGCUUCACGUUUCUUUAAGAUAACGUCUGGCAAGCAAUUUAUUACAAUGUUGAUUUGUACAUCCGUCCAAUUUAAUAGCUAGUUAUUUUAUGUAAUUAAAUAAAUUAUACGUAAGAUUUGAAA